rnacentral:rRNA from 1 species
CCUACGGGAGGCAGCAGUAGGGAAUCUUUCACAAUGGGCGAAAGCCUGAUGGAGCAACGCCGCGUGCAUGAUGACGGCCUUCGGGUUGUAAACUGCUUUUAUAAGCGAGAAAUAUGAUGGUAACUUAUGAAUAAGGCUCGUCUAACUACGUCCCAGCAGCCGCGGUCAUACGUAGGAUCCGAGCAUUAUCCGGAGUGUCUGGGUGUAAAGAGUUGCGUAGGUGGCAUAAGAAGUAGCUAGUGAAAUCUGUUGGCUCAACCAUUCAGACUAUUAGCUAAACUGUUAAGCUCGAGACCGGUAGGGGUAACUGGAAUUGCUAGUGUAGGAGUGAAAUCCGUAGAUAUGAGAAGGAACACCAAUAGCGUAGGCAGGUUGCUGGGACGGUUCUGACACUAAGGCACGAAAGCGUAGGGAGCAAACGGGAUUAGAUACCCCAGUAGUC